rnacentral:lncRNA from 1 species
UGGGACGCAGGUCCACCCACAGCCAGCUCUGAGCUGGGGCCCUGGCCAGGGUUCUACCCUGCUCUGCCUGCCUGGGGCCCUGGCUAGCCUGGAGGUGGGAAGUCUGAAGCUCAGAGAGCUUGGGCCAAUGGUGCAGGUCACACAGCACAUCAGCGGCUACAUGUGAGCUCAGACCUGGGUCUGCUGCUGUCUGUCUUCCCAAUAGCCAUGACCUUGACUGAUGCAGGUGUCCAGGGAUAUGUCCAUCCCCGUCCUGCUGGAGCCCAGAGCACGGAAGCCUGGCCCUCCGAGGAGACAGAAGGGAGUGUCGGGCACCAUGACAAGAGCUCAGAGUCCUAAGCAGACUUAAGGCCAAGAAAAUAAGAGGAGGAAAGAGAGAGGGGCUGCCUUAACCAGCUGUGGUGCUGACUUGGACACUUCCAGGUCAAGAGGAACUGUCUGCUUUCGACUUUGUGUGACAGUAACUUUUUAAGCAAUGGACCAGGAGCCCAAGACUCAGAUGCAGUGAGCUUUGCAAGGCAGACGAGAGCUGAGAUCUUCAGUGGCUGAUGGGUACAGGGCUGCUGGGAGCGUAGCCACGUCUGCUCCAAGGUGGCUUGAAUGAGGCAGUGCCCAAGUCCUUUUGACUGGCUGAGGUGAGCCUGCGGCUCAGUCACGCACUUUGUCCCUCUCCUAAUAAGUACAAUUCCCA